rnacentral:rRNA from 1 species
GAUGAACGCUGGCGGCGUGCCUAAUACAUGCAAGUCGAGCGAACAGAUAAGGAGCUUGCUCCUUUGACGUUAGCGGCGGACGGGUGAGUAACACGUGGGUAACCUACCUAUAAGACUGGGAUAACUUCGGGAAACCGGAGCUAAUACCGGAUAACAUUUGGAACCGCAUGGUUCUAUAGUGAAAGAUGGUUUUGCUAUCACUUAUAGAUGGACCCGCGCCGUAUUAGCUAGUUGGUAAGGUAACGGCUUACCAAGGCGACGAUGCGUAGCCGACCUGAGAGGGUGAUCGGCCACACUGGAACUGAGACACGGUCCAGACUCCUACGGGAGGCAGCAGUAGGGAAUCUUCCGCAAUGGGCGAAAGCCUGACGGAGCAACGCCGCGUGAGUGAUGAAGGGUUUCGGCUCGUAAAACUCUGUUAUUAGGGAAGAACAAAUGUGUAAGUAACUGUGCACGUCUUGACGGUACCUAAUCAGAAAGCCACGGCUAACUACGUG